rnacentral:rRNA from 1 species
UACGUAGGGGGGCAAGCGUUGUCCGGAAUCAUUGGGCGUAAAGCGCGCGUAGGCGGCCCGGUAAGUCCGCUGUAAAAGUCCAGGGCUCAACCCUGGAAAGCCGGUGGAUACUGUCGGGCUAGAGUCCGGAAGAGGCGAGUGGAAUUCCUGGUGUAGCGGUGAAAUGCGUAGAUAUCAGGAGGAACACCUGCGGUGUAGACGGCUUACUGGACGGUAACUGACGCUGAGGCACGAAAGCGUGGGUAGCAAACAGG